rnacentral:rRNA from 1 species
AUUGAACGCUGGCGGCAUGCUUUACACAUGCAAGUCGAACGGCAGCGGGGAGGAGCUUGCUUCUCUGCCGGCGAGUGGCGAACGGGUGAGUAAUACAUCGGAACGUGUCGAGAAGAGGGGGAUAACCACCCGAAAGGGUGGCUAAUACCGCAUAAAUUCUGAGGAAGAAAGCUGGGGACCUAGGAAUAGGCCUAGCGCUUUUUGAGCGGCCGAUGUCGGAUUAGCUAGUUGGUGAGGUAAAGGCUCACCAAGGCGAAGAUCUGUAGCGGGUCUGAGAGGAUGAUCCGCCACACUGGGACUGCGACACGGCCCAGACUCCUACGGGAGGCAGCAGUGGGGAAUUUUGGACAAUGGGGGCAACCCUGAUCCAGCCAUGCCGCGUGUAUGAAGAAGGCCUUAGGGUUGUAAAGUACUUUUGUUAGGGAAGAAAAGUCAGCUGUGAAUAAUGGCUGAUACUGACGGUACCUAAAGAAUAAGCACCGGCUAACUACGUG